rfam:Poecilia formosa, whole genome shotgun sequence.
CCCUACCCGGGAACCAUAUACUAAAUUGAUUUUUGGAGCAGGGAGAUGGAAUAGGGGCUUGCUCCGUCCACUCCACGCAUCGACCUGGUAUUGCAGUACCUCCAGGAACGGUGCACCCCCU